rnacentral:rRNA from 1 species
UACGAAGGGUGCAAACGUUGCUCGGAAUUAUUUGGGCGUAAAGCGCACGUAGGCGGCUCUGCAAGUCCCAUGUGGAAGCCCACGGCUCAACCGUGGAAGUGCAUGGGAAACUGCAAGCUUGAGUACUUAAGAGGAUCGCGGAAUUCCCGGUGUAGAGGUGAAAUUCGUAGAUAUCGGGAGGAACACCAGUGGCGAAGGCGGCGAUCUGGGAAGAUACUGACGCUGAGGUGCGAAAGCGUGGGAGCAAACAGG